rnacentral:tRNA from 1 species
GCAAUUAUAGGUUAAUGGUAAACCUGUCGUCUUCCACACGAAGAUUGUUGGUUCGAGUCCAACUAAUUGCG